rnacentral:rRNA from 1 species
GAUGAACGCUGGCGGCGUGCCUAAUACAUGCAAGUCGAGCGAAUGGAUUAAGAGCUUGCUCUUAUGAAGUUAGCGGCGGACGGGUGAGUAACACGUGGGUAACCUGCCCAUAAGACUGGGAUAACUCCGGGAAACCGGGGCUAAUGCCGGAUAACAUUUUGAACCGCAUGGUUCGAAAUUGAAAGGCGGCUUCGGCUGUCACUUAUGGAUGGACCCGCGUCGCAUUAGCUAGUUGGUGAGGUAACGGCUCACCAAGGCAACGAUGCGUAGCCGGCCUGAGAGGGUGACCGGCCACACUGGGACUGAGACACGGCCCAGACUCCUACGGGAGGCAGCAGUAGGGAAUCUUCCGCAAUGGACGAAAGUCUGACGGAGCAACGCCGCGUGAGUGAUGAAGGCUUUCGGGUCGUAAAACUCUGUUGUUAGGGAAGAACAAGUGCUAGUUGAAUAAGCUGACACCUUGACGGUACCUAACCAGAAAGCCACGGCUAACUACGUGCCAGCCGCCGCGGUAA